UUAGUUUUUCCCAGAUGCCAAGGAAUUAAUUGACACUAAUCGCUGAUCUGUUUUUGUUAAGGGCUGGCAGUACUGUGUGGUAUAUUUCAGCAACAUGAAGAUGCAAAAAUAGCUGUAAUAUGGCUAAAUAGAGGCUGCCUAUUUCCCAGUACUUUCACUUCAACUCUUACAUGGUAGAUAAGAGGGCAGUUCCCUUUGACCAGGAGUACCUGCAGGAGAAGCUUGGACAGAGCUCUGAGGAAGAAUGCAGAAGAACCACAGUCACUGAAAGUAAGUUUUCUUUCUCCUUUAAUACUCAUCCAUAUGCAUUAACACUGUGGGUGAUCCUUUGCACUUCAGGUACUUGCUAAUUAUCUAAAGCUAAAACUCCUGUUACAGCUUCUUGUGAAAGACAGGGUGGGGGGACAGGAGUCAAAACACUCAUUAUUGUGGAGAUCCAGAAACUGUAUUCCUACGCAUUAACAAUGCCAGAGAAGAGAUCAGAAAGGGGGGUAAGGUUCUGUUCUGAGUACAGGGAGAAAAUAACUCACAAAAGUCUUAGAUGAACUCUGGCAGUGUGGGAAUGUCUCAGGACUUCAAACUGGUUCUAAUCCAUACUAAGAGCAGCAACAAGGAUGGGUAUGAAUUGGUAUGAGCUGAAGCUGUUCCUUGAGUAAGAAUGUUUUACACAAUCCCUCAAGACUCAUAAUGUGAUACUGCUAGGUACAAUUUAUAAUUGGGUUUUUUGGUUUUCUUCACUUUUGUAAGUUUCCAGUCUUGAAAUCAAGAACUUUAGCUUUUGCUUUCCUUGAUUAAACUUUAGUUUUUUGCUUCUAAGCUUGUGUGGUGAAAAGCUUGACUCUGGACAAAAAUUCAAAGAAAACCAGUUCUCUAGGUAGUAACUAAUCCAGCAAAAAUGUUUGUCCAGGCAACAGCCUUCCUCCUGCAGGAAUCUGAGAUAUGACUUUCAGCAGAGUAUAAGGACAAGUUUGAAGGUGCAAUGAGCAAGUAUUCAGGUUUAGUGGCAGAAAGAUGAUGUAUAGAUGCAGGUACACCUCAGAUCAUCAAUGUGCUAGUUUUUAAAAUGAAAGCAACAUGCUGUUGACAAUUUCUCCCCAAAUCUUCAUGAAUUUUUGAAAACAACCCAUUAAAUCUCAUGGUUUUGGAAAACAGAAGUGAACUUCAGAAUCGGGCAAUGUUGAUGAAUUACCAGAAAGAUCAUGUUGUCAAUCUUCUAAAAAUGCCCUGGUAGCAAGUUCUGGUAUUGUUUUUCAAUUGUUGAGUAAUUUAUUUCUCUUCACAGGUCCAGUAUUAUCUCAUUACCAUUAUUCCUACAAUAAUGCAAAAUAGCUGAAUUCCAAUUUUUCUUAGGUCGUAUGGUCCUUCAAGACAGAACUUAGCAUACGGCUGUGAGUGCAUUACUACUCUGAUUAGGAUUUGCUACUGUACUCUUAUUAGGAUGAAAGACUAUGCUGGACUGAGGCCACAAGUGAUCUGAUUCCAAUGACCACCAAACUAAAGGUCAACUUGAAGAGCAGGCAUCAAAUUUCUUUCCUUAUAGUCUACUUCAGACGUCUAUGAAAGUGUUGUUCAUGUUUGUUAACAUCUGUUGCACAGGAUUUUUUAAUCCACUUGAUAAAGCAGAUCAAAUGUUCCACUUUUUUCUCUUGCUUGACACAAAGGGAUUAAAUUCAG
ensembl:lncRNA